rnacentral:rRNA from 1 species
GUGGAGCCAACCUUGAAAUACCACCCUUUAAUGUUUGAUGUUCUAACGUUGCCCCAUUAUCUGGGGUGCGGACAGUGUCUGGUGGGUAGUUUGACUGGGGCGGUCUCCUCCCAAAGAGUAACGGAGGAGCACGAAGGUUGGCUAAGCAUGGUCGGACAUCAUGCGGUUAGUGCAAAGGCAUAAGCCAGCUUGACUGCGAGAGUGACGGCUCGAGCAGGUACGAAAGUAGGUCUUAGUGAUCCGGUGGUUCUGAAUGGAAGGGCCAUCGCUCAACGGAUAAAAGGUACUCCGGGGAUAACAGGCUGAUACCGCCCAAGAGUUCAUAUCGACGGCGGUGUUUGGCACCUCGAUGUCGGCUCAUCACAUCCUGGGGCUGAAGUAGGUCCCAAGGGUACGGCUGUUCGCCGUUUAAAGUGGUACGCGAGCUGGGUUUAGAACGUCGUGAGACAGUUCGGUCCCUAUCUGCCGUGGGCGUUGGAAGAUUGAAAGGGGCUGCUCCUAGUACGAGAGGACCGGAGUGGACGCACCACUGGUGUUCGGGUUGUCAUGCCAAUGGCAUUGCCCGGUAGCUAAGUGCGGAAGAGAUAACCGCUGAAAGCAUCUAAGCGGGAAACUUG